UCCUAUCAACUUAUUCAAAAAGGUAAUUCAUUUGUCGGUGAAUAAUUGAAUAAAUCACACUAAUGGAUGUAGGUUUUAACGGAUUUAAGCAAAUGGAUUCUCUAUGAAAAAAGACAGCGUGUCAGAUAUAACAACGCCCUAUCCGCAUGCUUAAUUUUAAUACAGGGGUAAGCAACCGUGGCCGUAUCUACGAGAUGAACUUUCAGAUAUAGAAUAAUCACACAAUAAACAAUGACAUGUAUCGACUGAUUAUAAGGAUAAAAUAUCGACACUCGAAAUAAAAAAACAGACUGGACCUACUGGAAAGAGAUUUAUAGGACGAUAAAAGAAAAGAUGGAUAGAGAACAUUAUAGAACUAGCGGGGAAAAACUGGGUGAAUGUUGCAAGACAAAAAUAAAAUAGCAGGAGGCUUUUAGACUUAAAGGGGCCACUAAAAAAUAAAUCUAACUUAAAAAAUUUAAAAGUUAUACUAACACAAAUAAUACUAAUAUUAAGGAAUGAAAACUAAUCACUCGUUGUAUGGAUUAAUUAAUAAAGCUUUAAUAAUAAUAAUAAUUAAUCAUAUAUAACAAAUGCAUCGAAACCAAUAUAAUAACGGUUGGCACUAAAAUACCCUGCAGUAGUCUUAAAAUACUGCCAGAUAUCCUUUUAUACUACGCUUACGAACCUUAAAUCAAGUUUUAUAAAAUUAGAGAUAAUACGAAUGGACUGCUAUCAGCUAGGUACUAUUGUGUAAAAAUUCAAUAAGUAAAUAAUUAACAUUUACACGUGUCCCCAAUGUUGGUGUUAUCUAUCUCUACAAAUCUACAAAGUGAAGAGAUCUUCACUUUUAAAAACAUCACUUUGUUUUUGUUUUUUGGCAAAACUUAACAAUCAUUUGUUUCUUUUAUUAAAUUAUAUUAUUGUUACCGAGCGUCCAUGACGGAACGGUCAAGUAACGGAACGGUCAACUAAAUAAUAUCUUUGUUUAUAACUGACGCACCCGAAUUGCCCGACGCCCGACACAAAGUCAACUGUAUAUGUCCAUUUGUGCUUAGCUAUUUUGUAAAAACAAAGAAUUCUGUGUUGAAUUAUACAAAACAACAAUUUUGAAAAAAGCGCAGAUGUUUGUUUUUGUUCUUUGAAAUUUGACACUCAAAAACAACUUGCACCCAAAAAUUGUAGGCAUUUGGUAUUGUGAUAAUGCCAUCUGACAUUUCACGUGGAUUAAAAUCGGCAGUGAAGUCAAUGUUUUACGUCAAUUUAAAAGUUGUGCUUUCCUCGGUCAUUUCGUGAUUCACAUGUGAUUUACCCAUUUUUUGGCGAAGUUAUAAGUUUUCGUAUAUGAAAUUUGUAUUUUGGAGUAACUUUGUUAAAAAAAAAAUAUGGAAUGUGACGAAAAUGUAAGCACGACAUAGCCAAUUAUUUCUACAUUCGCUUUUUUCGAAUACCCAAAUAUAAUAUAUAAUAAUUGUUUUGAACGAAAUCAUAAAUGUUUGCUUAAAAACGGUAAACCUUUUGAUUAUUUGCAGCAAUAACCUUAUCAUUUACAUCUCAGAUCCAAUUUAGAUGCAUUCUUUAUCCUGUUAUCUUUAUUUGUCAUGUCCACCAUGGAACGAGAAAUUAAAUGAUCACGAAUGUC